CAAGAAGUGAUAUUAAUUGUUUCAUUCUAAACGCCACAACAACGGGAUAAAACGGCGCCACGCGGCAAAACUACGGGGAAACAAAAAUACUAAAGAUACGAUGAAAUAUGAUCGAAAAAAAAAGCACGAAAGCAGUUUCAUGGUAAAACACAAGACACCACUCUAAAGAAGGCAAGGCAAAGGAAGGGGUGAGAGAGGACAGCUCUCAGGAGAAAAUGAAGGUUGAACAACGCAAAGCACGAAGUGAAGGGGAUAGUGAUGGACAGGAAACAAGCAGCCAGCGAGUCAAGGCCGCAGGAUGGACUAUGGGAUGAGGAGGAGAAGGGUUGGUGGACGAGGCAGUGGAUGUAGUGUGCAGUGGAGAGUGAGCGUGGGACAUGAGGAAAUAAGCAGUGCAGGGUGGAGGGUGACGCAGUGUGGAUUAGUGGAGGAGAGCAGGCAGGCACGGGAUGAGGAAGGAAAGGCUUCCGAAUCGCCACACGCACGCCCGCUCAGGUCCCGCAGCCUCGCCCUCCUUGUGAACCCUGUGAACUCCGUGGCUUCAGAGAAAAUGGGCCUCUGCCGCCGGGCGUCAACUGAGUCAAGGGAUGACUGAGUUAGUAGCGCGGUGGCGGGCUCCUCCCCUCACACCGCAGCGGGAUGCCUGGAACACAAGCCCCGCACAGCUCUCCACGCACCGGCUCGUUAGCACCACACUAAACCAACCCAGAACCUGACCCUGAAAAUUGACCUUUCACUCUUCCCUCUCCCAAUAUUUUAUUUCUUCCUCUCAUUUGUUCUUCCCUUCCAUUCUCCCACUCUGCUCUUCUUCGCUCUUCCUUUUUUUAAAUCUUGACAUUUGAAUUCCUCUUGCCUGCUCGAGUGAAGCGAAUGGGGAUUUGCUUCGUUCAGGGUUCAAGUACUAUGGGGUUGUACCAUUGCCAACAAAAUCUUUUUCGCUGUGAUUUCAUCAAGAGAUCUCAAAUUUUCCGUGGUAUUAUUCAUUCCAGCUUAGGCUCCAGCACACUUGAACACUGUAUGGUUUGAGUGCUAGACAAAUGUUGCCAUCUCUUUAUUUGCUUGCGUCUAUAGUUUUUGAUCAGCAGGAAGCAGAAAGCAAAAGUAAAUGAGUGAAAAAUGAGAAAAGAUAUCUUUCCUUGAUCAGAACGACUUAAUAUGUUUUCUUCCCCAAGACCUCUAACCGAACCCUAUAAACACUGACGAAACAUACUGCUAAUAAAAAUAGAAAAAGCAGCGUUGCAGCACGUCCUGAGAGCAAGACAGAUCCUGGAGGGCUGGACUCGACUGGACUCAGCUCUCUAGACGUCUCUUACUCCUCAACAAAGCGAGGCGAGGCGACCAGCGGGGUUCAUAUACCCGACCCCGCCAUUCAGUGGAAAGCCUCCUGAUCCGUUCUGACCGCCACACGCACUUGCACCGGCUAAGGCAAAACAAUAAAUGGAAGCAAAAAGGAAGACGAUGCUGCUGCUAAACUCAGGAUGAAACUGACCGCACAGAUAUACUUUACUUCCCACGACCUGCACACAUUUCUAAAAGGCAAGGCAAGGGAAGGUGAACUGAAGCGAAAAGAUGAAAAUAAGUAAAGGGAGAAGAGUGUAUGAUAUUAUUAUUAUUAUUUUUUUUUCAGAGAUGGACUUUUCGUUAUUGUUUUCUUCCUUAGGCAUGAGUGUUCAAUUAUAGAUACAUUUAUAAAAGGUAAGGGAACAAGAGGUGGAGUAAAGCAGAAAGAUGAUAAUAAGUAAAAGAGAAAGAUGCUAUUUUCUUCUAAGAUGCACUUUUGUUAUUUUUUUUCCUUAGACACAAUAAGCACUUGUUUUUAGGUACAUUUCGAAACAGAAUAGGAGUGAAGCGAAAAAUUAAAAUGAGACAAGGGAGGACGGUAUAUUUCUGUUUAUAUUUUCUAACCCAGACAUGUGCAAUUUUUUUUUUAGAUAAACU